ensembl:lincRNA
CCCAUCUCAUGUGACCCUGAGGGAGGCAGAGUGAGUUAUGGACGGUUUAGAAAGGAAGGUCCGGGCUUCCAACCAUUAGUUCAGUUUUCAGUAAGUUUUCCAUUUCCUCCUUUAUAAAUUUGAAGUACAUUUUAGGGUACCUUUGGGAAUGACUGUGCAGGAUUAUGCUUGCUUCUUAAGAUCUUGGCAAGUUGUCAUGUUGCUGUCUUGCAUAUAGCCAUGGUCGUGAUUGUUAUCCGAAGUGCCCUGCCUUUGUCAAGCAUGACGACUGAGAUGUCCCGGUGAUGGAGUCAAGGAGAACUCUUGGAGCCACCGUGUGAGCCCUCAUUAAGCAGACUGGCUUCCUCACCUGAUGAAAGCCCGGGCACCCUGAGAGGCGGGGCACUGCAGAGCACACCACUGCCUGCAGGAGGGGAACAGAACAGCUUGUGGUUUCCCUCUUGCCAGCCGAGGGCCAUGAGCUUAAGGCUGCCACUCUGAAGUGUUUACCUUUCCCACUUGGGUUCUCUGAGUGCACUGUGCAGUUUGCAGGGGCUCGGUGAUGCGUGAAGACGCCGCUGUUACGUCGGCUAAGGGAUGUGUGCUUCAAACUCUUGCGCGUUAGACAUUUUUGUUUUUAUGGCAAAUAUUACAAAUAAAUAAACAUCAUGAGCAAAAGCUUUCAGGAUAAUAAUUUUAUAAAGUGUAAACAAUUCUUAGACCAAAAAGUUAGAGAACUGCUGUAACAGACAAACCCUUGAAAAACAAUAAUAAUAACAUAUUGUUUGAGCUCUUUCUACACGCUCAAUCCGCUGUCUUCACAUCAUCUUGCUGAAGCUGGAGGACAGUCCACUGGAGUGUCUCACCUUGCUGAUGAGGAGUUGGGAUUGGCUGCACCAUGCUGAACACCAGGUCUUCAACACGGAGGCUUUGGGGCUUUCCAGACCCGCACAGAAGAAGUGAGCCUCCCUUGUCCUCUUGUGUGCCCUGGCCUGUCAGGAGGCAACAAGAAGGCUCUCACAGGUGCCAGCACCACGCUUUCAGGUCUGUCAGCCUUCACAGACGUGAGCUAAGUAACCUCCAGACUACCCAGCCUCAGGUAUUCUGUUUCAGCGAUAGAAAGUAGGCUCAGGGAGGUAGCACGAGCCCUGCUUUCUGGUUCUUUGAGUGUCAGGUGACAAUUCUAACUCUUAUAUCUGGACCCCAGUGGACUGCAGCCAGUCAGUCCUCGGAGAAUCUCAAGUAGCUCGGUAACAAAAUACCCAAGGCAGGACUCAGCCAGCCUGGCUUCCCGACGGUCUUGGCGCCAUGAAAGUGGAGAUGAUGAGGCUGCGGAGAGGGGCUUUCCAUUUCGGUUUCCCUGGGAUCUCACUCCAGCGCUCUAAUGAGGCAGCACACGCUUUAUGUGAAGGCAAAUGUCUCCCUGAUCGUCUAACCUUCCGUGAUGACAGAUGUGAAAGCAGUCAGUGCUUUUGUUCUCAUGUGAGCCGGACUCGGCCGACCAGAUGAGAUGAAGAGGAAGAGGUGACCCGGAGUGGGCUCCUCCUCGCCUGCACUGCCACGUCGGUCACGAUGUAGCAGUACACACACAAAAUCAGAGCUGGCUCCUGUGAGGGUGCCACCCGCCUGCUCUCAUAGCCCAAGUGCAGGAAAACGCUUCCCCAACAGGCUCACCUAAGUCUCCGCAAGCAGGGAAUACUCGAAGUUAAGGUGGUCAGCAGAGUAGGAGGAGGACUGAGAGGUGUGACCAUCCCGGGGCACUGGCUGACCCGUGGGCUGCGCAGAAUUCUCAUUCCCAAGUCCUGGGGUCAUUUUAGUAACCCUCGGGCCUCCCAGGGUACUGAAUGGGAGUGGCUGUGGGAGCUUCUCAGACCCAGAGAGCACUUGCUCCGCUCCAUCAGCUGCGUUGUCAUGACCCCGGUGCCGCGGGCAGCUCCAGGGUUAGGGUUAGUCUGGUCUUUUGGUGAGGGUGGAGGUAGAAUUAAAUUCAGCCAAGUUAGUAUUUCCUGAGAACCUACUGCGUGCAGGACCUUUACUCUGUACUCCCAGUCCUUGACUCUUGCCAUCUUGUUGCAGGUAAUGGCACAGGGAGAAGUGGCAAGAAUUGUGGACUUGUCCUCAAACAGGGGCAAACUGUUGGUACGUGUGGUUGCUUUCUUAGCAUAUGAGUUAUUUAUCACAUUCUACGAGCCC